CACUAAAGGAGCGGGGCAGGGAGGGACGAGCCGCCCGCUGAUUGGGCGGCGCGGCCCGGCAGGUGCGCUGCCAUUGGAAGAGGCGCGCACAGGUAAAGGCCGCCGCCGAGCUGCAGGUGGUGGACACUGAGCUUGGUACCAUGACGCAGUGGAGCAGGAAGUAAUCCCGUCGUGGGGAUUUCCGUGGUAUCCCCCAUCACAGUGAUGAGCAGGCAGCAACUUGAGAACCAAACAAGACACAAGAGAAUGUUAGAAGGUCCUGUCACCCUGGCUCUCCUGAGAUGCUGUUUGUAAGCUUUCUCCAGCGGCUGGACUGGUGGAGAAUUUCUGCAAGUCAAGAGGAUCCACAGCAUCAGCAUCAGUGAAGCUUCUGAACUCCUAGACGUGUAUGGAUAAGCGCAGCUACCUGAUCAAGAAGGCUCUCUCCUCUGACAGCUGGGAGACUCAACACGACACAGGGUGAAGCUACCAUGAGACUCAAUCGUGUCAUUGAAUCAGAAGUGUCCUCAGAUCAUAUCACAGGCUGUGACAAUGUGUAGGCACCACGGUCCCCACCGCAAAGCACUUAGAGUCCAAGCCAGAGAGCCUGUAAGGAGGGGGGUCAUAGUAAAAUAGGAGUGUCUGUGCUAUUUUGAAUGUUGUGCUUUAUGGCUGUAUUUUUUCAAUAAAGCCCAUUUUUCAUUUUAUUGCAUUUCGAUGUACGAGCAUAUGAAACCUUGCAGAUGUUCCAGUAAGAGCGGGCUGCCUCUCUGUGCAUCCUUCUGUGGGGAAAUGUCUGUUCUGUGCAGUUACCCAGGAGGACUGAGCUUUAUGAGGGAGCAGUUUGGUCUGAGCUGCUUUCCCUUUUUGGCCUGUUGAGAGAGCACUAAGGGGGCAAAGCCAGCCCCCCUUACAGCCUCGCCAGGCCACAGCAAGGGGCUGCUGCCUGUGGCUGUGUGCAGACACCCUCCUGCUCCACAGGAGCCCAUCCCGUUACGCUCAGCAGAGCAAGUCUGAACGGGGUGAAAUGAAGAGGAAAUGCCAGUUCCAGCCCUCCCAGAUGGUUCCGGGCUACUUUGUACGCUAACUUUUUCAGCCUCAGGAGGUUUUGCAUAUUAAUUCCUCACCAGCCACAAACUGCUUUUGGAUCAGCGCUGCGCUGCCGAGAUCUUGGAAAGCCACCCCACCGGAGUGAUUCGGGAGACGUGAGCUCCGCUGUGUUUAUGGGGCUGCCUGCUCUGCUCUCCUGUUUUGGUAAUCCUCUGCUCUCCUGCAGGUAUUAACACGCACAAGAAAGCUUCGUCACAAUAAACAAUAAGCCAAA